CCAGCAGCAGGUCAGCUACAAUGCCCCAGCUCUGAUCACUCUCUACACGUCCUGCCUGCGGCGUGAGGUGGACAGACAGGUACAAAAUGCAUGUUUGCACAGGGAAACUGGCAAACAUGGACUGAGCCACGACCUUGGGAGAGGAGGAAUCAAGAGAACCUUCUCUGGCAUAGCUGGUGUAGUUGGGGUUUACAAGGGAGUAGAUUUAAUACAGAACACAUCAUUUAUAGGAUUAUUUUAUAAUAGCCACCUAAAAAGUCAAAUGCGAAGGGGUGCAAGAGAUCUGUCCACACGCUAGAGACAGGAAGAGUCCAGCCGAGGGCCUGGGUCCCACAGCAAUGUCCUGCAGAAGUCCAGCUGAAGGCCUGGAGCCCACGGUAAUGUCUCGUGCAAGUCCCUAUGGAGGACCUGCACCGGGAAGGCCCAAAGGCCAGUGCUGGAAGCCAGAAAGCCUGCACCAGGGAGUGAAGGACCUGUGCCACCAGGCUGAGGGAUUGGAGCCAGGAAGCGACACUCACGGUGAAGACCACAGCUCCCCUGACGAGAACUGCAGCCAUCUUUGGUGACAGCGAGGACCCGAGCUCCUGCUAUGAGAACAGCCAAGUUUGUAUCAGGAAAACCAGCCGGGCAAGCUUCUCCAGGAAAGUCAGCAGCCAAAGAUCUCAUCCCCAGUUCUCUUUGUAUGCCAUUGGCAACAGUUCUCCGGUGGGUCUUCCACGCCCAGAACCGCACUGACUCAGUUCAGCUGGGCUUCCCAAAUUGACCAUGAGUUCAUCCACCCCAGCCAGCCUGAAGCACGGAGCUCAAGACACCAGGAGGCUCAUCUGCACUGCCACAGAGGAGGCCUGGCAGGUCCUCGGGGGCUGCGGUCUCCAGGGCAUCAGCUCAUCUUAAAGAGUCUAUCAGCCCGUCACCUGGCCUGCAACCACUCCCACUCCCGCUGACGAAGCAGAUACCUAUCAAAGGCAGGACACGUGCAGCCCCAAAGGUGGAUCUUGCAUCUUUUUAAUAGAAUCCAAGCAAUUCCCUCAGCCUUGAAGGCAUAUCAGUCACCUGCCACCCCCUGGUUACCAGCAAACCGCCCGGUCCUCAGCUCUGUACUCCUGGACACCGACCUCAUCCUUCUUUCUGAGUAAGAAAUGGGCACACUCUGCCCUUGGGACCCCCGGCCUGCACACGGAGGUCCCUCUGCUGAGAAUUCUCUUUUGCCUCUGACUCAUCCCCGGCAGCUGCUCCACUCUGUCUCAGUUUAACUGCUACUUCCUCCCAGAAGGUGGAGGAGACCACCGCUUGGGAAACAGCAUUCACACCCCCUCUUCUUCAGAGCACUCGGAUCACUUUGCUCAUGCCACCAACACAGUCUACUGGGACUUGGUUAUGAAUAUGUCUCCUGCCUCAAUCUUCAAAUCUACUAGCAGAAGGACCAUGAACUUGUCUCAUCUCCAUAUGCGCUUGGACCCAGCACAGUACCCAGCUCAGCAGUAGGUAGUGGCCUGUCAUGUGUCCACUGUUAGCUCAAUAACUCUGUCAUGCUAAUAAAUUACGAGGACACAGACAACGGAAAAGAUGCUCUUGGAUAUGUUUCCAGUUGCCACUGGAUGAAGAAAUGAGCUCAAAGUAUUAAUAUCAGCAUAGCAUCUAAGCAUGUUCAGAAAUGGCCCUAGAAAACAGGCUGGCUGCAUGGUGAGGCUCAACAUCAGGAAGAAAACCGAUCAGCCACUCACAGCACAGUAAUCAUCAAGAAAGCCAAACUGAUGGCAUGGAGGACAAUUUUCAUUUUCUUUUUUUGGACAAUGGGUAGAACUUGAUGGCUCCUUUACCAUUUUAACUUAAACUGAAUCCCAUGGUUGCUUACUGUGGAAUAUUUAGACGUCAGCCACAAUCUCCAGGCUGUGUCCUGUUUCCUGGCCUAGCUAGACCACAGCUGUGGACUCCUAGUAUCUGUUCCUCCUGCAUCCAGGUGCAGCGGCGUACACCUCGGGCAGGCCUGAAGCCGCGGCCCGAGGGGUUGAUGGAGAAACCCCGCGUGGGACAGCAGGCGGCCUCCCAUGCCUCCGCUGCUUAUCCGGGCCCACCGCAGGGUGUGGGUCGGGGCUUCCCUGCCUGAGGCUUGGGUUCUAAUAACUCAGCUGCAGUCCCACUGAGGGCCCCAGUUCAGCCAUUUAGCCAUGAGAGGAGAAGAACCAGCCCUCCCCAUUCUGCGUCCUGUCCGGUGCCUGGUCCCUCCGGAGGGGGCGUCAUGCCUGGACUGAGAAGAAGGGGGUGUGAGCCUGCACUGCCGUCUGCCUCCAAGCUGGCUCUUCGUGUGUGUGGGACCCACACAUGCUCAUGCUGCUGCCUUCUUCCUUCUUGUACUAACUUUAAUAAUGAAAUAUUGAGACCAGGCCGCUAAUGAGCCUAAACUCCCUCCUGUUAGUUUAUUUUCCACCGUCAGACUGUCACUUCAGAGUAAACUGCUUUUCUCUGGGUCUUGUUGGAGUGAUAUCACAGCAGUGUGACCCCCCCCCCAUUCUCAUUUCAGGCCUCUCUGAUUUCCCCCAGUGCGGUUCCCAGGCCAGGGAGGCGUCCCAGGUGUCGUGCUAAGGCCUAUGCAGUGCUUCCCUCCUGCGACGGAGACGUCACUCUUGUCACGCUCAGUCGGGUUACACCCUGCCACAAUACACACAGCUAUGACCCAUAAAUAAGUAAAGGAAUAAUACAUGCGGUGUUGGGGUGUUAUUCCUUAGUUCUACAGGAAAGAUCUGGGUGCUGUGAGGCAGAAGGAGACCUGCCUUCGAGGGAGCGGCUAAGCCAGCAGAGGAGCUGCAUCUCCGCCAUUCACCGCCUUGCCCACUUCUGCCUGGCUCCUGCUCAUUUCCUGGCGCAUUCAGCAUUUCCUGUCAGCUGGCGGUGUCAGGACAUGAAAACAGCCAACAUUAGGUGGAUACUUUGCACCAACAGGACAGCAUGCGUCUCAGAUCUGCUCUCCUCUUCUGUUCAGAGACACUACACUGGCUUCAUCAAACUGCCGCACUCCUGCGGUGUCCUCUGCUGUCCUGAUCACAAAGAGCUUGGUGCUUCUGCUUCCCUUGCGUCUUCCCUGGCUCCCUUCUCUGCUUCGUGUCUUCCUGCUUCUUGUGAACCAGGACUUGCACACAUUCACCAAUAUCCCAGCUUUGCCACUUGCCAGGUGAUCUUGGACAACGAAGCCGACCUCUCCAUGUCCACAACCUUGUCCAGAGAGUGCUGCUAAACACAGCAUUGCCUUCCUAGUGUUUUGAGGACUCAACGUCCUCAAAUUAACACAUGUGAUGUGCUUAAUACAAUGCCUCAGACAUUAUAAAUGCUCAAGAGAUC